CCUACGGGAGGCAGCAGUGGGGAAUAUUGCGCAAUGGGCGAAAUCCUGACGCAGCGACGCCGCGUGAGGGAUGAAGGUCUUCGGAUCGUAAACCUCUGUCAGCAGGGAAGAACGGUCACUGUGCUAAUCAGCAGUGAAUUGACGGUACCUGCAAAGGAAGCACCGGCUAACUCCGUGCCAGCAGCCGCGGUAAUACGGGGGGUGGGAGCGGUAAUCGGAAUUACUGGGCGUAAAGCGCCCGUCGGCUGGAUGUCAAGUCAUGGUUGAAAUCCCCGGGGUUAAGGUGGGAACUGCCUUUGAAACUGGUAAACUAGAGUGUGUGAGAGGAUAGUGGAAUUCCAGGUGUAGGGGUGAAAUCCGUAGAUAUCUGGAGGAACAUCAGUGGCGAAGGCGACUAUCUGGCACAUAACUGACGCUGAGGAGCGAAAGCGUGGGUAGCAAACGGGAUUAGAUACCCGAGUAGUC
rnacentral:rRNA from 1 species